rnacentral:rRNA from 1 species
UAGGCGUGGCGCUCUACCAUGCAGUCGACGAUGAAGCCCAGCUUGCUGGGUGGAUUAGUGGCGAACGGGUGAGUAACACGUGAGUAACCUGCCCUUGACUCUGGGAUAAGCCUGGGAAACUGGGUCUAAUACCGGAUAGGAACGUCCACCGCAUGGUGGGUGUUGGAAAGAUUUAUCGGUCAUGGAUGGACUCGCGGCCUAUCAGCUUGUUGGUGAGGUAAUGGCUCACCAAGGCGACGACGGGUAGCCGGCCUGAGAGGGUGACCGGCCACACUGGGACUGAGACACGGCCCAGACUCCUACGGGAGGCAGCAGUGGGGAAUAUUGCACAAUGGGCGAAAGCCUGAUGCAGCGACGCCGCGUGAGGGAUGACGGCCUUCGGGUUGUAAACCUCUUUCAGUAGGGAAGAAGCGAAAGUGACGGUACCUGCAGAAGAAGCACCGGCUAACUACGUGCCAGCAGCCGCGGUAAUACGUAGGGUGCGAGCGUUAUCCGGAAUUAUUGGGCGUAAAGAGCUCGUAGGCGGUUUGUCGCGUCUGUCGUGAAAGUCCGGGGCUUAACCCCGGAUCUGCGGUGGGUACGGGCAGACUAGAGUGCAGUAGGGGAGACUGGAAUUCCUGGUGUAGCGGUGGAAUGCGCAGAUAUCAGGAGGAACACCGAUGGCGAAGGCAGGUCUCUGGGCUGUAACUGACGCUGAGGAGCGAAAGCAUGGGGAGCGAACAGGAUUAGAUACCCUGGUAGUCCAUGCCGUAAACGUUGGGCACUAGGUGUGGGGACCAUUCCACGGUUUCCGCGCCGCAGCUAACGCAUUAAGUGCCCCGCCUGGGGAGUACGGCCGCAAGGCUAAAACUCAAAGGAAUUGACGGGGGCCCGCACAAGCGGCGGAGCAUGCGGAUUAAUUCGAUGCAACGCGAAGAACCUUACCAAGGCUUGACAUGUUCUCGAUCGCCGUAGAGAUACGGUUUCCCCUUUGGGGCGGGAUCACAGGUGGUGCAUGGUUGUCGUCAGCUCGUGUCGUGAGAUGUUGGGUUAAGUCCCGCAACGAGCGCAACCCUCGUUCCAUGUUGCCAGCACGUAAUGGUGGGGACUCAUGGGAGACUGCCGGGGUCAACUCGGAGGAUGUGGGGACGACGUCAAAUCAUCAUGCCCCUUUAUGUCUUGGGCUUCACGCAUGCUACAAUGGCCCGGGUAC